GAUGAGUGGCAAGAGGAUUGGUGGCAUCCUCCUUGUUCUCAUCUCUGGCAGCAUUGCUGGCAUCCUCCUUGUUUUCGUUGCCGAUCUGCUACCACUCAUC
rnacentral:miRNA from 1 species